rnacentral:lncRNA from 1 species
CUGGGACUAUAGGUUGGGCUUGAAGGAGAAUAUGAUGGAGAUGUUGGAGAGUACGAUGGUGAUGUGGGACUGCAAACACAAGACCACAUUUAAUCACAUCAUUAGUAAUAUAUCUAGAGCGGGUCUGGAAUCCACCAAUACAAAAACCCAACAACUUCAGAAACUAACUAGUUAUUAUGAAGCUGAAACCAGAUAUAAGUUAGGUAAAGUGACCUAAUUAAGAAGAUUAAGGCGCUACUAAAGUCACUGUAUUAUUAUCAAACAGAACCAAAUUAAGAACCUUUUCUGUCUCAGCAGAAGAAUCAAAGACACAUGUAUCAAACCAAGGUUGUUUACCUGUAACUUGGAGAUGACGGGCUGUAUGGACUAGAAGGAGACAGCUUCGGGCUGGUUGGCGAAUAUGCAAGGGAGGGGCUGUAUCUCGCCGAGGGAUUGUAACUUGGUGAUGUAGGACUGUAGGAUGGUGAUGUUGGGCUAUAGCUGGGAGAUGUUGGGCUGUAACCAGGGGAGGUAGGACUGUAUGCAGGAGAAGUUGGACUAUAUGAUGGAGAAGUCGGACUAUAAGAGGGUGAGGUGGGGCUAUAUGAAGGUGAUGUGGGGCUGUAAGAAGGUGAAGUGGGGCUGUAAGAUGGCGAAGUGGGGCUGUAUGCCGGAGAAGUGGGGCUGUAGGCCGGAGAAGUGGGGCUGUAUGCCGGAGAAGUAGGGCUGUAGCUAGGUGAUGUUGGGCUAUAGCUAGGCGAGGUUGGGCUAUAGCUUGGAGAUGUUGGACUAUAACUGGGUGAUGUGGGUGAGUAUGAAGGACUGGUUGGAGAAUAUGCUGGACUUGUCGGGCUGUAGCCAGGGGAGCUGGGGCUAUAAGUGGGGGAAGUGGGGCUGUAACCAGGAGAUGUGGGGCUGUAACCGGGGGAAGUGGGGCUGUAUCCUGGAGAG